rnacentral:rRNA from 1 species
CAGCCGCCGCGGGAAUACGUAGGUGGCAAGCGUUGUCCGGAAUUAUCGGGCGUAAAGGGCUCGCAGGCGGUUUCUUAAGUCUGAUGUGAAAGCCCCCGGCUCAACCGGGGAGGGUCAUUGGAAACUGGGAAACUUGAGUGCAGAAGAGGAGAGUGGAAUUCCACGUGUAGCGGUGAAAUGCGUAGAGAUGUGGAGGAACACCAGUGGCGAAGGCGACUCUCUGGUCUGUAACUGACGCUGAGGAGCGAAAGCGUGGGGAGCGAACAGGAUUAGAUACCCCUGUAGUCCCUGUCUCUUAUAC